CAUUGUAAUUUACUUAAUUUACAUAAUUAAUGUAAUGUAAAAAAAAUUUCGUUCACCAGUACUUAUAAUUCCCAAUCGGUUCUGACUCAAUCCUCAUAGGAUAGCCGCUCUGACAGCUCAUAAAUCAGUUGACCGGAAGUUAUGAUGUGAUAGUAAAAGUAGUAGUUUGUGUGUCGGUGUGUGUGAUAGUGGUUCCAGAGGCCAUGUGGAUACCCACUCGUCGUCACUCUGGAUGCAGUGCAUCAUGGACCUAACCAGUUGCUGUUUCGUUUUUGGUUUUAUUUUUUGUACAGCUCUUAUCUGCUUAUCAGCUUAUUUGGAGAGCAGCCGAAGAAAAAACUGAAACGACGCGGGAAAUAAUAAUAAAACAUGCACAUCAACUGGCUAUCGCAUAUAGGCCAAAAAUGCGAGGGCGAUAACUCUUACUGGAUUAGCUGUAGUGCGGCAUUAUCUCUUCUAUAAUUCAUUUCCAGUUUGGCUUUGGAUUUCAUUCUGAUUUUGUCGCCAUAAUGCCAAGAGUAAGAUCCCUGAAAUUGUGUUAUUGCUGACACAUUUCACAUGUUUAGUUUACAGCUCUUUUAAUAUUUGUUCAAAUAUUUACUGUACACAAUCUAAAUUACUAAAUAUUUUGCAGAAUAAAGUCAACUGUACUGCCCUGUUAGUUAUUUAUAUGAAAUAUUCAUUUCUGUUCCCUAUCUGCCUAAAUAAAUGCGUAUUAUUUUGCAGUUUGCCACUGUAAACUCGGUUGUGUUAACAAAACAUCAUUUCUGUUGGCUAUUCGUUGAAUCUCUUUUAAGCGCUAUAAAAUUGUAUUUACCCUACUCUUGUUGCUGUGGUUGGUUUUUCCGCAGAAUAAAGUUUUCACAGACCAACUCCAACCUAAUUAAUUAUUAUCACAACUUUGUCCAACUCUGCAAUAUGCAUGAUACAUGUGUAUCUUUUCGCAUAUAUCCACCAGCGCAGCUGACCAAAAGCAAAGUUGGCACACAGUCUGUGGUAAGCAAAAACUUUUGCAUUCUAUUACAGUCUCUGGCUUACGGAUGUCGAAAGCUAAUCAAAAACUCAUUCAAAAUUUAUACCCAACAGGUAGAAAAAAUAUAUAUAUAUAGGCUGAUAUAUAUAUAUAGGCUGAGUGAAAGCCAAAUCAAAAUCCAGCCGGCUAAAUGGAAAGGGUUGACAAAUUUCAUCCAGAAAACAAAAUGAAUUCAGAGUGGGCAAAACAGAGGGAAAAACAGCGCUUUCCUUCAGCCAUUUGCGAAUGUAAGGGUCCCAAGUUUAUGCAAAACAGGGGACGGCAUUAAGAUACUUUUAAAGAUUUUCUGCACACACCUUUUGCCCCAACAUGAAAGUAAGUUAUUACAAUACAAUAAUUUUAAAAGCAAACCAAUACAUUUUUAAAUGAAAAAUUGAAGGCCGGGAUCUUUCGAUUAGUGAACUCCUUGACAUGAAACAUUAAUUGAAUUCUAUUGGAAUGCCCGUCGAUUGACAUCUGAGUUAUUGACACAUCAACAUCGUAAUUAUUGAGGUUUUAAACGGGCAUAACUAGGCUCGUUUCGAAUUCAAUUAGGACUUUGUGUGCUUAGGUCAACUGCCACAUGCAAAAGGGGAAGUCUAAGACUCUAAGGCUAAAUUGGAAUCUUGAUGCGUUGCAAAUUGCGUUGCAUAAACGCAAAUUAUUUUGGCCACAAAAUCAGGCCACAAUUGGUCCAAUGUGUGCUCCAUGCGACAGCUGUGGUCCGUUUUCAUGCUCCCAGGUUCGAUUAUUAAUAUCGACUGACAACUGCACAUGUUUCUGGACGGGUUUUCUCCCCAAACGAUAUGAUUAGGCGCGGCUGCCCCAAUCCAACAGCCCAGAAACCGUGCCCAAUCAAAGACCUUUUAAUUUGGAAUCGACCAGCGGGCACCACUGCCCCAAAAGCCACAAAAAUCCAAAAUGCGAAUCUGGGCGACGAAUCCUAAUGUAAAUUUGAUGAACCUGCGUGUGUCGCAUUGUCUUUCCUCACGUAACCGCCUUCAACAUUGAUUUUAAAUUGGUGAUCAAAAGGAAACAAUUAAACGAAAUAAACGUAUUUUAAAUAAAGUAUAGCGCUACCUUUCGUAAUAUUAAUGUUUCUAAUUUAGUUAUUUAUUAAAACUGGUUCUCAAACAACUUGCAGCCUUUGUGUACUCGAGGAAAAUGAAUUUGCACACUUUUAUGAUGGAAGAAAUUUUUAUUUUGGCUUCAUUUUCGGUUGUUAAUCAUUAAAAUCGAGACAGAGACCAGUGACAUGACCUGCAUACCCCACUUUUAUUUCUUCUAUUUGUUUUAAGCGACCCCAAAAAAAAAAGGCGAGGAAGGCUAGCCAAAUGGGAACGAGGGAAUACUGAGGCCCAGCAGCUGGAAAAUUGAAAAUCGAUGGCUCAAGUGGAAAGCGAAUCGCUGAGGGGCGAUUUUCCAGUAAGCGCGGGGGGAUUGUGAGGGGGUAGAGGGGGGACAUGGCUGGCAGAAAAAUAAAGAAAAAUAAAGAAACUCAAACAAUUUUCACGUUGAGAAAUCGAUGGUGAAGAUUCUGUGUUCUGGCUGGGUGUAAAAAUCGCCAUUGAAUAGCAGCUGGAAAAUCAAACAAUCGAACUCAAUUAUUUCGUUAAUUCGAGCAGAUAACAGGUCGUAUGCGCAAUAUCAGCUAGCAAUCAAAACGGAAAACACUCGAUAAACAUUUGAUGGAUGGCCACUUUCGUGGCAGAUAAAAUAGCCUCUCAAAAUCUCUUUAUGCACAUUUUUAAGACUUUCUGAAUUUUAUAAAAUGUGGAUUCCAUUGUAAGCCAUAUUUAUUUUAAUAACCACUUUUUAAACGUGAAAUACACAAACUAAGUGGCCAAUAAAAAAGGCUCAGAAUUGUUUAAAAUAAAGUGCUGAUUAUUCGACACAAUUUUUUUUUAUUAAUGACUGUUUAUGUUUGGUUAUACGCAAAAGAUGAAAGCCUUAAUUGUUUAUAGAUGUUUAUGUUAGUACUAGAAUGUGUAAAUGAAGAAGUGAAAAAUCUAGAAAAGUAAUUGAAAAUAUAAAGGUAAUUCACAA